UCUCUGAUGUCCAGCAACCUCUGAAGAUCCAUCUUCAACCUCUGAAUGAUCCGAGGUGAUUCUAGAAGAAGAUCUAUUCAGAUUAGCCAACAGGAGCAGUCUUUGCGAGCUAGCACUCUCAGAGAUAGCAAAUCGAAAUGAGGACUUCGUAUGGAUGAUUCAUAGAGGCUGGACACACUGUGUGGCUGCAAGCAACUAGCAAGGACCUCC
rnacentral:lncRNA from 1 species